UCUCUUCUACCCGAUCCCCCCCCUCCCCCCCAAAGCAGAGAGACCCCAGCAGCAGCAGCAGCUGAUGAUGAAGAGAGAGGCAGUGGCAGAGGGGGGGCACCUUUUAUUUCUAUUUUUAAAGGGACAGGACACUAAUUUUACCCCACUUCAACCUUGAAUUGAGGGGGGGGUGGGGGGAAGGCGGCUGAGUUCCUUCCCCCACCCUCCAGCCCUGAGACCUGAGAGGGGGAUUGAGCCAGAGAGAGAAGGAGAAGGAGUUUCUUCUUCUUCGAAAACCCCCAUCUACGACUCCUACCCCUUCACCCCUCCAGUAGCCUCCCUCCCGAGCCCCCUCCACCCUCCUCUUUGGCCGCGAGAGAGGAGAGAAAGAGACCAAAAGCCUCUUAGCAACACAGACCCUGCUCUGCUGCUGUUGCUGCUGCUGCUGCUGCUGCUACUGCUGCUGCUUGGCCCUGGCUGGAGACAUCUCACUACACCCAGGAGCAGCCACUUCCCCAGCUCUCCUCCUCCGCCGCCGCCUCCUCCUCCUCCUCCACUCCCCCCUUUAUUACCCUUUGUGUCAUCCUCCACAGCUCCCGGGAAGGCACUCAAAAGUGGGGGGCAGGAAAGACAAUUAUCAACUUUCCAGUUUUCUAUGGAUAUGAAGAUUUACUGCUAGUCAUCAGUGGGACCCAAUGAAGUCAGCCAGAAAACCUAUAUCCAACCUAUGUACCUUUGCAAACUUGUCUGGAUUUUGAAUGUAUGUGCAAAACACAUUGUACUUAGCUAUUAUUCAUUAAACAUCACUUGAGUGUCUACUGUCUGUCAGGCACUGUGCUAGGCAUCUGAGAAAUAAGGAUGGUCCCUACAGCUAAUGUGAAGAGAUAUCAUAAUUGUAUUCUAGAAGUGUAUUGGUCAUAUCUUUAUUUUGAUGUUUCUACCUAAGUACAUUUUAUAUUAACUUAAAUGGAUACUGUUAGGUGGAAAAAUGCAUGUUUAAGAAAGAUAUUGCUGUAUUUUAUUAAAAUAGAAAAAUAUAAAGUAAAAUUUUCCACUUAAUAUUGUAUUCUGGGGAUUUCUAUUCUGUAUAUAAUUCACUAAUUUUAGAUCAUGAAAAUAGUUUAUGUGGUUACCAUUGCUAGUAUUUUAUUGUUAUAUACUUUAAUUUGAAGAUGACCAGCACUGUUCCUUGAAGUAUCUCUUAGUAAAUUAUUAACAAAAGAUAAAAACCAAACUUUUUCAACUUGAACUUUUUUUCUCAAAAGUAACUUUUUCCUUUUUAUAUCUCAUAUUAACAGGUUAUCUUUAUCUUUCAUGGUUACUUGGAAGACAUUGUACGUUAUCAUUUUGAGCACUUAGUUAUUUUCUAUCAUAGUUUAAGCUGACAGUAUGACUUAAUUAUCAUGGAGUAAUUGUAGUAUACACUAUUUAGGAGUUUUGGAAUUUUUAAUGGGUACUAGAUAUGUUCCUCCAAGGUCCUCAUAAGACACUUCCCAGUUCUUGUUCUAAAUUAGUUGCAAUUUUUAAUCUUGGUUUUGUGAUAUUGUUUCUGUAACUUUAAUAAAAUGAGUUGAAAGUUU